rnacentral:tRNA from 1 species
UCCCCAGUGGCGCAACUGGUUAGCGCGCCGUACUUAUAAUGCGGAGGUUGUGAGUUCGAUCCUCACCUGCGGAA